ensembl:lincRNA
UCCUUUUGAACUGUGGUGUUGGAGAAGACUCUUGAGAGUCCCUUGGACUGCAAGGAGAUCCAACCAGUCCAUCCUAAAGGAGAUCAGUCCUGAGUGUUCAUUGGAAAGACUGAUGUUGAAGUCGAAACUCCAAUACUUUGGCCACCUGAUGUGAAGAGCUGACUCAUUUGAAAAGACCCUGAUGCUGGGAAAGAUUGCGGGCAAGAGAACAGGGGACGACAGAGGAUGAGAUGGUUGGAUGGCAUCACCGAUUUGAUGGACAUGGGUUUGUGUGAACGCCAGGAAUUGCUGAUGGACAGGGAGGCCUGGCAUGCUGCGGUUCAUGGGGUCGCUAAGAGUCAGACACGACUGAGCAACUGAACUGAACUGAAGACAAACAACUGGAUCUAGUUGAGCCCAAGGGAGGCAUUUUUUUUCUGAGAACAGAGGAUUCUGAAUUGCCUUUAGAAGGACUGGUGGGCACAGGCAACCCUGUGCUACCUCUCUGGCUUCUGCCUCUCUCUGCCCAUCCUCUCCUCUUUCCCUUCUUUACCCACCAACUUCCUCUGUGUCUAGGUCUCAAGAUCAGAGAGAUCAGAAACUCUUGCUCCCUUGCUGACAUCAAUCCCUUAACUAUGUGGAAAUGCAUCUCCCUAUCUCAGAUGCUCACCUCUCAUCCAGUCAACUCACUCUGGAACAGCAUAGUCCAACAUGGCCAUGGGAUGCAUGGGAGGUCACUCUGGUCUGGGAAGGUCAUGGGCGGCUGUCCAGGGUAGGCCCCUGGGGGCUGCUGUCCAGGGGGCAACAUGGGCUGGCCUGGCACAGGGGCCCCUGGGUAUGGCGGAUAUGAAGGCAUCCCAGAGGGUGGGUUUCCUCCAGGGGGCGGGUACAUUCCAUACGAAGGAACAGGCUGCUGGGCGGGAGGGGGCUGCCCGAAACUCCCGGGGGGAACUGGAGGGUAACCACCGCCAGGGGUCCCCGGGUACAGGUUUGGCACGCUGGCUCCUCCAAACGUCCCAGACAUGUUGGCUGCCUGAAAGUCCACAAAGCGGAGCCUUAGACUAACAGCCCUGGAGAGGUAAGGCCACACUCCAUCCAUCCCUCUGCCCCUCCCCACCCUGAGCCCUGCAGCGGGAGCCCCGGAGCCACACUCGGCUCAAGCUGACCCUGAGCACCACCAGCUUCUCAGCAGGCCUACCGAGCCCGCCCUCUGUCCCCAUGCCCCCGCCUGCACCACUGGCCCUUUACCCUGCCUGCCUCACUCUGACACCACACCACUGUUCCCUCAUGCUACUGUCUGUCUCCUCCCAGGGGCUGGCAGGUACUCCUGGGCUGGGGUUUUCUAUCCCCAGCACCUACCAUGGGCCUGGUGCAAAUCAGACUAGGCAGUGGUUGCACUGUUUACACUGAGCGUAUGUUUAUCUUUAGAUUAUAAAAUACACCAUUUUAUAAGCAAAUCGAAAGUAGCGUGCCUGCCUGUGUUACCAGGCACCUGCCCCCCUCAACCAGGACAGUCAUCCGCAUGUACGAACACAGACAACACACACCUGCAUCCGGUCACACAUGCAGGACACACAUACACACCCUCACCCUCCUCCCGUCCCUGUGCUGAGCGCAUACAGAAGGUGCUCAAUGCAUAUCCCUCACCCUGACCCAAUCCCCCAGUACUGAAAGGAGCCUGGAAGGCCACGCAGCCCAACACACUCCCCCACCCGUCGCUUUACUAAAGAAAACGAGAUGCAGAGAGGGACAGUGAACUGGCGAGAGCCUCGAUGGAAACCCUUCUCUCCUAAGAUAUAGUGAGAUACAGCGCGACACCCUCGGUGCCCACAGGUAAACACACACCCCUCUGACACCCCGGAAGCCAGCAGCCUUUCUCCCUCCGGCCCCACGAGAGUGGCCCCCGGGGCAGCCCAGUGGGCGGGCUGGACUCACCACUCCUGAGAGGUAGUCCUGGUUGAACUGCCCUGCGUAGUUGGCCACAUUAUCCAGCCCGAUGGGAGGCAUGGUGGGUGGCGGGGAGCCAGCACCACCCCAGGCACCGCCACCUGAAAGCAACACCGAGUCCAUCAGCCCCUCGAUCAACAGCCAAGAGGACAAGGCAGAGACAUCAAGCUCCCAGGCGGUCAAAGAGAAGGCCAGGCAGAACCUUGGGCAGUCCUAUAGGCCACGGUGAAAGCGCUCGGGCAGUAGAGUCUAGCCUGAUCCUGCUGCCAGAGAAGAAGGAACCUGCCCCACAUUUUGGGGAGGAAGGCACCACUCAGCAAACACUCCCAAGACUCUCUGUGGGGUAUUAAGGCAGGAGGGCCAAGGGCAGACUUGUUCUCCUGGCCUUACCACCAUGGACCAGGAGUACAGACAGGUCACUCAGGGAGGCUGUGCCGAGCCCAGCAGAGUGUGGAGCUCAGGGAGCACUCCGAGUCCAGAGUGACAGACGAGCACAGCGGGCGGGGUGGGCUGGCCUGCUCAUCUGGCUGUGUGCCGUCACCACAUGUCUGUGAGAGGCAGGGAGGAGCAGGAUGACGGGACAGAGGCAGGCAGGGCUUGGCUGUGAGGAGGAGUCGGGGAACAGCAGUAAGAAGUUCCAGCUCCGACACCAGAAGGACCGGGGCAUGCGCCCUGAGCGAGCACGCAGCCAUCCUGGCUCAGUUUCCCCGUGUGAAGCGGGGAUAGCUGGUGAUGGCCUUAACUGCUGUGAGGAGGACUGAGAGAGUUACUGCCAGGCAGGGCUUAGCUGGGAGCCCGGUGAGUGUUCGUAUGUGACAGCCCUCACCGAAGCCCUCACGAGCAGCACAGCAGCCAGCAUCAUGGCUGGCCUGUCAGAAGCAGCCCUGUCCACGGCAGCGAAAAGGCCCUGGGGGCCUCCAGAGCGGCUUUCCAGCUCCAGGACACCCAGGACAGAGCCUCCCCGGAGUCACUGGCCAGUUCCUGCGCUUCCUGCUCCAGUGCCGACAAUACACACCCUCACCCUCCUCCCGUCCCUGUGCUGAGCGCAUACAGAAGGUGCUCAAUGCAUAUCCCUCACCCUGACCCAAUCCCCCAGUACUGAAAGGAGCCUGGAAGGCCACGCAGCCCAACACACUCCCCCACCCCUCGCUUUACUAAAGAAAACGAGAUGCAGAGAGGGACAGUGAACUGGCGAGAGCCUCGAUGGAAACCCUUCUCUCCUAAGAUAUAGUGAGAUACAGCGCGACACCCUCGGUGCCCACAGGUAAACACACACCCCUCUGACACCCCGGAAGCCAGCAGCCUUUCUCCCUCCGGCCCCACGAGAGUGGCCCCCGGGGCAGCCCAGUGGGCGGGCUGGACUCACCACUCCUGAGAGGUAGUCCUGGUUGAACUGCCCUGCGUAGUUGGCCACAUUAUCCAGCCCGAUGGGAGGCAUGGUGGGUGGCGGGGAGCCAGCGCCACCCCAGGC